rnacentral:rRNA from 1 species
CAGCCGCCGCGGGAAUACGUAGGUGGCAAGCGUUGUCCGGAAUUAUUGGGCGUAAAGGGCUCGCAGGCGGUUUCUUAAGUCUGAUGUGAAAGCCCCCGGCUCAACCGGGGAGGGUCAUUGGAAACUGGGAAACUUGAGUGCAGAAGAUGAGAGUGGAAUUCCACGUGUAGCGGUGAAAUGCGUAGAGAUGUGGAGGAACACCAGUGGCGAAGGCGACUCUCUGGUCUGUAACUGACGCUGAGGAGCGAAAGCGUGGGGAGCGAACAGGAUUAGAGACCCCCGUAGUCCCUGUCUCUUAUAC